CAGAAAUCGACUGAAAAAUUUGAACGGAGACUUCUAUAGUUGUAUAAAAUGGCCUUUGUUAUGUUAUAAAUGUUUUUACGUGUUCCCCGUCUCGUUAGGAGAAUAUCACAGGGAAAAUAAUUUCUCCUUCAAUUGGUUAUCACCAUACAUGAUUUUGGUCAACAUACCAUUUGUGAUUAUUCAAGCAGUGACCGCAUGUAUAUACUGUUUUGACACAAUAUCCAGAGGAUAUACCUUUCCAGUAUUAACACUGACAGUAAACUACAUGUGUGGGCUCAUAACGUCACUACUAAUAAUGAAGUUUGCCAAGCAUUUUCAAAAAUUGUACAAGAAAAUUGUGUCAAUUGAACAAAAGUUACCGCCGGUCAAGGGAAACAGCCGCGUUGUUCACAGCUUACCGGCAAUCCUGGUUGUGGGAUGUGGCUUGA